rnacentral:rRNA from 1 species
UUAGUAAGUUGGAAUCGAACAUGUUGGUCGUGCCUUGGUACGUACUGGCAUUAUUGGUUUCUACCUUCUGAAGAACCCUCGAUGUCAUUAAUUUGGUGUCGUUGGGGAAUCGAGACUGUUACUUUAGAAAAAUUAGAGUUAGNUUAAAGCAAGCUCACGCUUGAAUACAUUAGCAUGGAAUAAUAAAAUAGGUACGUUUGAUUCUAUUUUGUUGGUUUCUAGGAUCGACGUAAUGAUUAAUAGGGACAGUUGGGGGCAUUAGUAUUCAAUUGUCAGAGGUGAAAUUCUUGGAUUUAUUGAAGACUAACUACUGCGAAAGCAUUUGCCAAGGAUGUUUUCAUUAAUCAAGAACGAAAGUUAGGGGAUCGAAGACGAUCAGAUACCGUCGUAGUCUUAACCAUAAACUAUGCCGACUAGGGAUCGGAUGAUGUUAAUUUUUAAUGACUC